rnacentral:tRNA from 1 species
UGGGGUUUUGGCUCAGCGGUAGAGCACUCGCCUAGCACAUGCGAGGCCCUGGGUUUGAUCCUCAGCACCACAU